GACGUAGGGUGCAAGCGUUGUCCGGAAUUAUUGGGCGUAAAGAGUUCGUAGGCGGUUUGCCAAGUCUGACGUUAAAUACUGAGGCUCAACCUCAGCAUGGCAUCGGAAACUGGCAGGCUAGAGUUUGGUAGAGGCAAGGGGAAUUCCCGGUGUAGCGGUGAAAUGCACAGAUAUCAGGAGGAAUACCGAUGGCGAAGGCAGCGCUCUGGGCCGGUACUGACGCUGAGGAGCGAAAGCGUGGGUAGCGAACAGG
rnacentral:rRNA from 1 species